UACGUAGGGUGCGAGCGUUGUCCGGAAUUAUUGGGCGUAAAGAGCUCGUAGGCGGUGUGUCACGUCGGCCGUGAAAACCUGCAGCUUAACUGUGGGCGUGCGGUCGAUACGGGCAUCACUGGAGUUCGGCAGGGGAGACUGGAAUUCCUGGUGUAGCGGUGAAAUGCGCAGAUAUCAGGAGGAACACCGGUGGCGAAGGCGGGUCUCUGGGCCGAUACUGACGCUGAGGAGCGAAAGCGUGUGGAGCAAACAGG
rnacentral:rRNA from 1 species